rnacentral:rRNA from 1 species
GACGAACGCUGGCGGCGUGCUUAACACAUGCAAGUCGAACGAUGAAGCCGGAGCUUGCUCUGGUGAAUUAGUGGCGAACGGGUGAGUAACACGUGAGUAACCUGCCCUUGACUCUGGGAUAACUGCGGGAAACUGUAGCUAAUACCGGAUACGACCCUCGGAGGCAUCUCCUGGGGGUGGAAAGAAUUUCGGUCAAGGAUGGACUCGCGGCCUAUCAGCUAGUUGGUGAGGUAAAGGCUCACCAAGGCGACGACGGGUAGCCGGCCUGAGAGGGGGACCGGCCACACUGGGACUGAGACACGGACCAGACUCCUACGGGAGGCAGCAGUGGGGAAUAUUGCACAAUGGGCGCAAGCCUGAUGCAGCAACGCCGCGGGAGGGAUGACGGCCUUCGGGUUGUAAACCUCUUGUAGCAGGGAAGAAGCGAAAGUGACGGUACCUGCAGAAAAAGCACCGGCUAACUACGUGCCAGCCGCCGCCGUAA